CCUACGGGAGGCUGCAGUGAGGAAUAUUGGUCAUGGGGCGGAAGCCUGAACCAGCCAAGUAGCGUGCAGGAUGACGGCCCUACGGGUUGUAAACUGCUUUUAUACGGGAAUAACGCGCGUUACGUGUAGGGCUUUGCAUGUACCGUAUGAAUAAGGACCGGCUAAUUCCGUGCCAGCAGCCGCGGUAAUACGGAAGGUCCGGGCGGUAGCCGGAGUUAGUGGGUUGAAAGGGAGCGUAGGCCGCAUGGCAAGCGUGCUGUGAAAUGUCCGGGCUCAACCCGGGCCUUGCAGCGCGAACGGGCGUGCUUGAGUCCGCGGCACGCAGGCGGUAUUCGUCGUGUAGCGGUGACAUGCUUACAUCUGACGA
rnacentral:rRNA from 1 species